rnacentral:lncRNA from 1 species
AAUUAUAUAAAUCGAGAUACUAAGAAAGUCCCCACAUAUUAUAAUGCUGGUUGUAGAAAAGGCCAAAUACUUCACGCCAGACUCCGGUUGAACUGCAGUGGCUUAAAUGAACACCUUUUCCAGAAAAAGUAUUGUUCUUUCCAGCCUCUGUAUAUGUGGGCAAGUUGAGAGCAGCAAACACUAUUUGCUAGAAUGUCAUAAUUAUAGACUCAUCAGAACACAAACCAUUUCUACACUACCAAUAUAUAAUAUACAAACAUUAUUAUCAGGUAGUGAACUAAUCAGUGAUGAGGAAAACGAAAAUAUUUUUAAAGUUGUACAAAGAUUUAUUUUAGAAACAGGGAG